CAAAGACUCAGAGUCUCAGUCUCUCCCUCUCUCUGCGGUCCGGCUGCAUGAUUCUCAGGCUCUCAGCGGCUCAACCUCUCUCCGACUGUCGGAGUCCCCGGUGACAACGAAUUUCUGUCAUCACUCAUUCACUCUUGGUUUGCUUCUUCGACUCCUCCUCAAGCUGUCAAGCCACUCCUCAAGCAGCAAACUUUGGGCUUUCUGGGUUCGAUUUCUGGGUUCAAGGCUUCAAGGAGUUCAAGCUCGGUGAUUCUGCAAUACAUUGUGAGUCUUGUUAAGUUGCUGGAAUGCUGGGCAUUGAGUCAUUGUCUCAAAGUAUCAAA